rnacentral:misc_RNA from 1 species
GGCGUGAUGGCCGAGUGGUCUAAGGCGCUGUCUUAAGGCUUGUACAAGCAUGAUUGGGCACUAUCGACUAGCCAUAUCAUCCACAAUCUCAAGUAGCCUGGCUCAAGUGCUGUGUCAAGCUGUCAAAGUGCCACCUUGCCAGCCGAUGAGCUGGUUUUAGGGUUAGGGUUAGGGGACUUGGCCAGGAGGAGCAGGAGGACGAUCAAAACUCGCUUCUUUCGAGGUGGGACUGUGGAGUGGGUGCAAGGGAGUGUGGAAAGAGUGCUGGGGAGUGAGCUGGGUGAGUUUGAGGAGGAAAAGGUCUGGCUUUCCCGCUUCAGCGCCCCUCUGAAGGUCCAGAGGAGAGGGGAGGUGGGGAACUGGAGCAGGGAGAGCAGGACGAAGAAUGGAGACUGAGCCACUCUCCCUCACCCCUCUCCCCUCAAAAGCAGGCUGACUCCUUCUCCACACAGGCUUAACACCCUCGCCAAGUGCACCGCAAAACAAGUGCUGCCACACUCUCUUAAACUCCGGAGAGAGUGAAUUUGACGGGCCGAAGUGUUUUGAGGACACUUCCGCUCCACUUUCUCUCAAGCUGAGUCACUUUUUUGCACUCUCCACGGGUCAAAGACGUCUAGAAGAGGGCGGUUGAGCAGGAACUGACGUCAAGUCCAGUCUGAGCGUGCUUGCUGUCUCCGUUCUAAGCGGAAGGAAAGGGAGUUUGAGCAGACAAGCCUCAAGUAGUGCGGUGUCAAGCUGGCGCCCAGCCAGCUUGCGAGCUGGCACAGCACAGUCACUCACAUGUACGAAAACGUGGGAAAGUGGAAAGGAAGGUGGUUUGAGCUGCUUUUGGGGAGCAUGACUGGGGAGUAGGAAGAGGUGGGAGAAGUUGCUUCUCUCAGGCUGGGACAGGUCGAGGUCGUGGAGUGGCUUUAAGAAAGAGUGGGAACAGUGCUGUGGAGUGAGCCAGGAGUGUUUGAGGAGGAAAAGAUCUCGCUUUGCAGCUUCAGUCGCUCUCCCAAGGUCAAGUAGGGGAACCGUGGGUUGGAGCAGGAAGAGCGGGGGGAAGAGCUGGAGACCAACCACUGUUUCUUCACCUUCUCCCCUCAAAGCCAGGCUAACUCUCCUCUCACACAGGCUCAACACAGUUGUCAAGUGCACUUCAAGAACAGUGCAGUUGCUUCCUCUCAAAGCUGUACAGUUGGGACUGUUCUCAGCGGCACAAGGCGUUUGACACAGAAGGAAGCAGGUUUUUGCGGCCAUGGACGCCUUUUUCAGGCUCAGCAGGAGGAGAGGGUAGGGGCAGUUUGCUGGUUCAGGGGGGGGGGGCAGGGAAGUUGCGGAGAUUUGACAAGGGUGUGUUGAAGCAGGAGGAAGUGCUGGAGAAGCCGAUUGAACAUCAUCUCCUAGACUCCUCCUCCUCCUCACCCAGUUCAUCCGCCCUGUCCCCAGGAUGUUCAGCUGCUCCCGCCUCUUCUCUUCUGAGGUUGUAGACCCUGACUAGAGUAGGGCGUAACAGCAAAAAAGGAAAGCCAAAGGAAAGGCUGAGUGAACCAAGGGGAGAGAGCAACACACCAGCCCCCCCUCCUCCUCAC